rnacentral:rRNA from 1 species
UGCAGUCGAGCGAACAGAUAAGGAGCUUGCUCCUUUGACGUUAGCGGCGGACGGGUGAGUAACACGUGGGUAACCUACCUAUAAGACUGGGAUAACUUCGGGAAACCGGAGCUAAUACCGGAUAACAUUUGGAACCGCAUGGUUCUAAAGUGAAAGAUGGUUUUGCUAUCACUUAUAGAUGGACCCGCGCCGUAUUAGCUAGUUGGUAAGGUAACGGCUUACCAAGGCAACGAUACGUAGCCGACCUGAGAGGGUGAUCGGCCACACUGGAACUGAGACACGGUCCAGACUCCUACGGGAGGCAGCAGUAGGGAAUCUUCCGCAAUGGGCGAAAGCCUGACGGAGCAACGCCGCGUGAGUGAUGAAGGGUUUCGGCUCGUAAAACUCUGUUAUUAGGGAAGAACAAAUGUGUAAGUAACUGUGCACAUCUUGACGGUACCUAAUCAGAAAGCCACGGCUAACUACGUGCCAGCAGCCGCGGUAAUACGUAGGUGGCAAGCGUUAUCCGGAAUUAUUGGGCGUAAAGCGCGCGUAGGCGGUUUCUUAAGUCUGAUGUGAAAGCCCACGGCUCAACCGUGGAGGGUCAUUGGAAACUGGGAAACUUGAGUGCAGAAGAGGAAAGUGGAAUUCCAUGUGUAGCGGUGAAAUGCGCAGAGAUAUGGAG